rnacentral:rRNA from 1 species
AUUGAACGCUGGCGGCAGGCCUAACACAUGCAAGUCGAGCGGAUGAAGGGAGCUUGCUCCUGGAUUCAGCGGCGGACGGGUGAGUAAUGCCUAGGAAUCUGCCUGGUAGUGGGGGAUAACGUCCGGAAACGGGCGCUAAUACCGCAUACGUCCUGAGGGAGAAAGUGGGGGAUCUUCGGACCUCACGCUAUCAGAUGAGCCUAGGUCGGAUUAGCUAGUUGGUGGGGUAAAGGCCUACCAAGGCGACGAUCCGUAACUGGUCUGAGAGGAUGAUCAGUCACACUGGAACUGAGACACGGUCCAGACUCCUGCGGGAGGCAGCAGUGGGGAAUAUUGGACAAUGGGCGAAAGCCUGAUCCAGCCAUGCCGCGUGUGUGAAGAAGGUCUUCGGAUUGUAAAGCACUUUAAGUUGGGAGGAAGGGCAGUAAGUUAAUACCUUGCUGUUUUGACGUUACCAACAGAAUAAGCACCGGCUAACUUCGUGC